rnacentral:ncRNA from 1 species
AGGCGGUAUCUUCGGAACCGCACUUAUACGGUUAACGCUUUAGACAAUUGCAUAAAGUACGUUUGUGUGUUUUCUGAUUCUGCUCUGAGCCUGAAGGACCGAGACAGAAGG